AGUGAUUCUCCCUCCUCAACCUCCUGAGUAGCUAGGACUGUAGAAUCUGCUCAUGAAGUUCUAUAAAAAAUCCUCAUGGCAUUUGACUUGUAUUGCACUGGAGAAUGAUCUGCUUUCCUUAAAGUCAACCGAUUAUGAAUGUUAACCGUUUCUACAAAACACCUUCACAGCAAAAUUUAGACUACUGUUCGACCAAACAACUGGGCACGAUAGCCCAGCCAAAUUGACACACAGAAGUAACCACCACGGAUGGUCAUGGCUGCUACUUCACAGAGAAAACAGGAGUCGUCAAAAAGACACUCUGUCAAGUUCCUGCCCGCUGUGUGAUCAGCCCAAUACCCAGCUCCCUCUGCGAAUAACUGAGUCCGUUGCCUGCGUUUCCCUUCCCGCAGCACUUGGUCUCUGCUCCCUGAUUCCACUUGCUUCUGUGUUUUCUCACAUUUCUUACUCCUUCUUGAUCCCUAGAAAGGAUCCUCUUCAACUUCAUAUCUUUGAAUUAUUGGAGUUCAUGGGGGUUCUGUCUCGAGCCCUCUUUUCAUCUUCAGAACAAUUCUCCAUCUUUCUGGGCCAUGAACUGGUAGCACCCGAGAUUGUGUUCAGAGGUACACAGCAGGCACUCAAUGGUAGCUUAACCAGGUAAGGUUUAUUUUUCUCUGACAAGAUGGAGUCCAGAGGUAGGCAGGUCAGGGCUGGCACAGUGGGGACCCAGGUUCUUCCCAACUCUCCAUUCUGCUGUCCUUCGUAGGUGGCCUGGCGCUCACACUCACACGUGGCUGCUGCCCUCUAGGCAUCACCUCUGCACCUGCAGUGUCUUCCCACCAACUCUUUGGAAUCUGAUUCACUUAUUUAUUGACAACCUACUAUGUGCCAACACUCUUCUGGGCCCUGGAAAUACAAAAGGGAAAAAAUAAAAUAAAAAUCCUUGUUCUUGUGGUCAAACAUACUAAAUAAAAUUCUCAACUGUUUAUGUC